GAUGAAGAACGUAGCGAAAUGCGAUACGUAAUGUGAAUUGCAAAUUCAGUGAAUCAUCGAGUCUUUGAACGCACAUUGCGCCCCCUGGUAUUCCGGGGGGCAUGCCUGUCCGAGCGUCAUUGCUGCCCUCAAGCACGGCUUGUGUGUUGGGCCCCGUCCUCCGAUCCCGGGGGACGGGCCCGAAAGGCAGCGGCGGCACCGCGUCCGGUCCUCGAGCGUAUGGGGCUUUGUCACCCGCUCUGUAGGCCCGGCCGGCGCUUGACGAUCAACCCAAAUUUUUUAUCCAGGUUGACCUCGGAUCAGGUAGGGAUACCCGCUGAACUUAAGCAUAUCAAUAAGCGGAGGA
rnacentral:misc_RNA from 1 species